rnacentral:rRNA from 1 species
AUUGAACGCUGGCGGCAGGCCUAACACAUGCAAGUCGAGCGGAGCGGGGGACGGGUGAGUAAUGCCUGGGAAUCUGCCUGGUCGUGGGGGAUAACGUCCGGAAACGGGCGCUAAUACCGCAUACUAUCAGAUGAGCCUAGGUGGGAUUAGCUAGUUGGUGGGGUAACGGCCUACCAAGGCGACGAUCCGUAACUGGUCUGAGAGGAUGAUCAGUCACACUGGAACUGAGACACGGUCCAGACUCCUACGGGAGGCAGCAGUGGGGAAUAUUGGGCAAUGGGCGAAAGCCUGAUCCAGCCAUGCCGCGUGUGUGAAGAAGGUCUUCGGAUUGUAAAGCUCUUUAAGUUGGGAGGCGUUACCAACAGAAUAAGCACCGGCUAACUACGUGCCAGCAGCCGCGGUAAUUC